CAGUAUUGUGGGAUGUGGCUCCGGAAAGAAUGAAAACCAGAAAAGUUUGUCUUUGCACCGGUUACCAAGAAGUGAAAAUAGAAAAGGAAAAUGGUUAGAAGCAAUUGAAACUGAAAAUAUCAAGCCAAAUGUAAAGGAUAUAUCAUAGUAUGUUCCCUACAUUUCCCCGAAAGUGCUUUCAAUAGAACAAUGGAUGUGAUUAGUCUGCACGAUGAUGCUAUACCAGUAUGUUUGCCGCUGCAUUCACACAGGGUACCGGUUGAGCCUCAAAUCCCGAACUCAAAAAUGAACAGAGUGAAUCCGAGUGCAUCACAGGCUGCACGAAAUAGUUUAGUUCUAUAAUUUUCUCUGUUAUUAAGUAAUUAUUGUUUUUUUUUUUCUAUUACCUACUGUAUAUUGUGUUGUUCAUCGUAAUAAAAAACUAUUAUAUACCUA